GACGUCAGCCCGUCGGCGCCUGCGCCGAUGGCGGUGGGGCACAAUGCGAUCGUGAUGUAACUGUUCGACCGGAACGGCGUGUGCUUGUUCUACCGAGAGUAAAACCGGCCCCUCCGAACCUUAAAUCCCCAGCUGGACCACAAGCUCAUGUUAGGCCUCCCCUUCUCCCUCAAGUCACUUACCGCUAAGAUGGAUCUGACCAGUGACUCAGUUGAGCUCAAGUAACUCAUGAGUAGGAGGAAUUUCUUGUCCCACGAGCUUGAAGUUGCAAAACCCUUUGCACUGCCAGGUGCGGAGUAUGCAGGAGAACCGGACGUUUCCACACUAACACAUACAAGCUUAGUUUCAUGGAAGGUCCUUCUGGUAUAAAGAUAAUCUUGGUUACACAUCCUUGGACUGGUGAUCUACGGGAAGCUCUGAAGUACAU